GUUGAGGGUAGACGUGAAACAACUCGUAUCGUGUCCCCAAUUCUUUGUAUUUUUAAAAUCAAACAAGAAAUAAUAUCGUUUCAAAAGUAGAAAAAGUGGUGUAAUAUUUCGGGAUAAAAAAGUGUAAAUGUUAUUCCGCCGAGAAACAUUGUAAAAGCAUAAAUAAUUCGCCAAAAUCACAACGCUUCAAACGAGUGACUUUUGUAGAUAACUUAUGUUGAAAAGAAUACCUAAAAUGCAGGAAUUGUGCACAAUGAACAACAUUAAAGUGAAAUAGUGUAGUGAUGUGAAGUGAACUAAUUUUUGCAAAAAUAACGGCACAAGUGUCAAGACUGACUCAUUUAAUAUAACACUGACUCAUUUAGUGUCUGUGACGCGUGUAACUUAGGGCACUAAGUGCAUCAUAACAGGCGAUGGAGGAAAUAAAAAAUAUGUUAGUUAUCAUGCAGCAAGAUAUAAAGCAACAAAAACAAGACAUGCUAGAUAUGAAAGAAGAUAUUAAAUGUACAAUAAUCAACAGCCUCAACGAGAAGUUUAAUCAUUUAGAACUAAAAAACGAGCUUUUGGAGAAAAACCUAGAAGAACAAACAAAAAAAAUAAACAACCUAGAAAGACAGUUUAGACGCAAAAAUCUAAUCUUGUUUGGCGUAGAAGAGAGCGAAAAGUCAUACGAUGGACUCGAAGAAAUGGUCAUAAACAUAA